rnacentral:rRNA from 1 species
UGCAGUCGAGCGGACCAAAGGGAGCUUGCUCCUGGAGGUUAGCGGCGAACGGGUGAGUAACACGUGGGCAACCUGCCUGUCAGACUGGGAUAACAUCGAGAAAUCGGUGCUAAUACCGGAUAAUAAAAAGAACUGCAUGGUUCUUUUUUGAAAGAUGGUUUCGGCUAUCACUUACAGAUGGGCCCGCGGCGCAUUAGCUAGUUGGUGAGGUAACGGCUCACCAAGGCAACGAUGCGUACCCAACCUGAGAGGGUGAUCGGCCACACUGGGACUGAGACACGGCCCAAACUCCUACGGGAGGCAGCAGUAGGGAAUCUUCCGCAAUGGACGAAAGUCUGACGGACCAACGCCGCGUGAGUGAUGAAGGUUUUCGGAUCGUAAAACUCUGUUGUUAGGGAAGAACAAGUGCCGUUCGAAAGGGCGGCACCUUGACGGUACCUAACGAGAAAGCCACGGCUAACUACGUGCCAGCAGCCGCGGUAAUACGUAGGUGGCAAGCGUUGUCCGGAAUUAUUGGGCGUAAAGCGCGCGCAGGCGGUCUCUUAAGUCUGAUGUGAAAGCCCCCGGCUCAACCGGGGAGGGUCAUUGGAAACUGGGAGACUUGAGUGCAGAAGAGGAGAGUGGAAUUCCACGUGUAGCGGUGAAAUGCGUAGAGAUGUGGAGGAACACCAGUGGCGAAGGCGACUCUCUGGUCUGUAACUGACGCUGAGGCGCGAAAGCGUGGGGAGCAAACAAGAUUAGAUACCCUGGUAGUCCACGCCGUAAACGAUGAGUGCUAGGUGUUAGGGGUUUCGAUGCCCUUAGUGCCGANUUAACACAUUAAGCACUCCGCCUGGGGAGUACGACCGCAAGGUUGAAACACAAAGGAAUUGACUGGGGCCCGCACAAGCAGUGGAUCAUGUGGUUUAAUC